rnacentral:rRNA from 1 species
CGCUAUCACUCCUACGGGGAGGCAGCAGUAGGGAAUCUUCCACAAUGGGCGCAAGCCUGAUGGAGCAACACCGCGUGAGUGAAGAAGGGUUUCGGCUCGUAAAGCUCUGUUGUUAAAGAAGAACACGUAUGAGAGUAACUGUUCAUACGUUGACGGUAUUUAACCAGAAAGUCACGGCUAACUACGUGCCAGCAGCCGCGGUAAUACGUAGGUGGCAAGCGUUAUCCGGAUUAUUGGGCGUAAAGAGAGUGCAGGCGGUUUCUAAGUCUGAUGUGAAAGCCUUCGGCUUAACCGGAGAAGUGCAUCGGAAACUGGAUAACUUGAGUGCAGAAGAGGGUAGUGGAACUCCAUGUGUAGCGGUGGAAUGCGUAGAUAUAUGGAAGAACACCAGUGGCGAAGGCGGCUACCUGGUCUGCAACUGACGCUGAGACUCGAAAGCAUGGGUAGCGAACAGGAUUAAUACCCUGGUAG